AGAGUUGAUCAUGGCUCAGAACGAACGCUGGCGGCGCGUCUUAAGCAUGCAAGUCGGACGGCAAGGGUUGUGCUUGCACAACUCCUAGAGUGGCGGACUGGUGAGUAACGCGUGGGUGACCUGCCCUCGAGAUGGGGAUAGCCAUUAGAAAUAGUGGAUAAUACCGAAUACGCUCAUGACCCUGUGGGGAUAUGAGGAAAACAGGCUACGGCCUGGCUCGAGGAUGGGCCCGCGUCCCAUUAGCUAGUUGGUGAGGUAACGGCCCACCAAGGCGACGAUGGGUAUCCGGCCUGAGAGGGUGGACGGCCACACUGGGACUGAGAACGGCCCAGACUCCUACGGGAGGCAGCAGUGGGGAAUAUUGCGCAAUGGGGGAAACCCUGACGCAGCGACGCCGCGUGAGCGAAGAAGGCCUUCGGGUUGUAAAGCUCUGCUGUAAGGGACGAAUGUCUAGGGUAGUAACUGACCUUAGAAUGACGGUACCUUACCAGCAAGCCCCGGCUAACUACGUGCCAGCCGCAGC
rnacentral:rRNA from 1 species